rnacentral:rRNA from 1 species
GACGAACGCUGGCGGCGUGCUUAACACAUGCAAGUCGAACGGACAGGCCCUGCUUUUGUGGGGUUCUCGAUUGGCGAACGGGUGAGUAACACGUGAGUAACCUGCCCUUGACUUUGGGAUAACUUCAGGAAACUGGGGCUCAUACCGGAUAGGAGCUCCUGCUGCAUGGUGGGGGUUGGAAAGUUUCGGCGGUUGGGGAUGGACUCGCGGCUUAUCAGCUUGUUGGUGGGGUAGUGGCUUACCAAGGCUUUGACGGGUAGCCGGCCUGAGAGGGUGACCGGGCACAUUGGGACUGAGAUACGGCCCAGAAUCCUACGGGAGGCAGCAGUGGGGAAUAUUGCACAAUGGGGGGAAGCCUGAUGCAGCAACGCCGCGUGCGGGAUGACGGCUUUCGGGUUGUAAACCGCUUUCGCCUGUGACGAAGCGUGAGUGACGGUAAUGGGUAAAGAAGCACCGGCUAACUACGUG